rnacentral:rRNA from 1 species
CCUACGGGAGGCAGCAGUUGGGAAUCUUGCACAAUGGGGGAAACCCUGAUGCAGCGACGCCGCGUGGACGAUGAAGGCCUUAGGGUUGUAAAGUCCUUUUUUGGGGAAAGACUUAGGACGGUACCCCAAGAAUAAGCUCCGGCUAACUACGUGCCAGCAGCCGCGGUAAGACGUAGGGAGCAAGCGUUGUCCGGAUUUACUGGGCGUAAAGAGCGCGUAGGCGGCUCGUUAAGUGUGAAGUGAAAUCUCCAGUGCUCAACACGGAAACUGCUUUACAUACUGGCGAGCUUGAGGAAAGCAGAGGCAACUGGAAUUCCUGGUGUAGCGGUGAAAUGCGUUGAUAUCAGGAGGAACACCCAUGGCGAAGGCAGGUUGCUGGGCUUUAUCUGACGCUGAGGCGCGAAAGCGUGGGUAGCAAACAGGAUUAGAUACCCUGGUAGUCCACGCCCUAAACGAUGGAUACUAGACGUAAGAGGUAUCGACCCCUCUUGUGUCGCAGCUACGACAUAAGUAUCCGUCCGUCGGGUACGUACGGCCGCCGACGGUAGUAAACGUACGAAACGGAAAGUUAGUAACGGUACGUGUUAGACGUGCCGAACGGACGACGACGAGGGAGGAGG